rnacentral:rRNA from 1 species
CCUACGGGUGGCAGCAGUGAGGAAUAUUGGUCAAUGGGCGCGAGCCUGAACCAGCCAAGUAGCGUGAAGGAUGACUGCCCUACGGGUUGUAAACUUCUUUUAUAAAGGAAUAAAGUGAGGCACGUGUGUCUUUUUGUUUGUACUUUAUGAAUAAGGAUAGGCUAACCCCGUGCCAGCAGCCCCGGUACUAUGGAGGGUCCGUGCGUUAUCCGGAUUUAUUGGGUUUAAAGGGAGCGUAGAUGGGUUGUUAAGUUAGUUGUGAAAGUUUGCGGCUCAACCGGAGAAUUGCAAUUGAUACUGGCGGUCUUGAGUACAGUUGAGGUAGGCGGAAUUCGUGGUGUAGCGGUGAAAUGCUUAGAUAUAACGAAGAACUCCGAUUGCGAAGGCAGCUUACUAAACUGCCACUGACAUUGAUGCUCGAAAGUGUGGGUAUCAAACAGGAUUAGAUACCCGAGUAGUC